rnacentral:rRNA from 1 species
AGAGAGAGACAUGCGCGCAUAUCAAUAAGCGGAGGAAAAGAAACUAACAAGGAUUCCCCUAGUAACGGCGAGUGAAGCGGGAAGAGCUCAAAUUUGAAAUCUUAAAGGGUUUCCCUUUACGAAUUGUAGUUUAAAGAAGUGUUUUCUGUUGAGGUUUUGGUAAAAGUUCUUUGGAAUAGGACAUCAUAGAGGGUGAGAAUCCCGUAUUUGACCUUUACUUUCAACUUUGUGAUACACUUUCAAAGAGUCGGAUUGUUUGGGAAUGCAGUCCAAAAUGGGUGGUAAAUUUCAUCUAAAGCUAAAUAUUGGCGAGAGACCGAUAGCGAACAAGUACCGUGAGGGAAAGAUGAAAAGAACUUUGAAAAGAGAGUUAAACAGUACGUGAAAUUGUCAAAAGGGAAGCGUUUGACACCAGUGUUGUUUUUCUGAAAAUCAAUUAAAGAACUGUUUAUGCUAAGUUGUUUAGACUUUAUCAGCUAACUGUUUAGUUUUGAGCUUUUCUUUAAUGCACUUUUCAGUUAACAAGUCAACAUCAAUUUCUUUUGCUGUAAAAAAGCUUGAGGAAGGUGGCUUGAGAUUCGUCUUAAGUGUUUAUAGCCUCUUGCCUAUGCAGUCGGAGAGAUUGAGGUCUGCAGCGUAGAUCCUUCGGGGCUAAAUGCAUUUGUGCUAAGUUAUAGCAUUUCAUAGACAACUUGUUGACUAUGAUUUGUCUUGUAGCUUACUCGCUUAUGUUAUUUUACCUACGCUUAGGAUGUUGACGCAUGAGAUAUACGC